GUAACAACACAUAAAGGACAUGAUGUAGUCUAUGAUGAGAUAAAACAGUCAGGAAGACAGACUUUUGAUAGAGAUCAAUGUCAAAGACUUAAGCUGGCCUCAGUUGACGUGCUGCCCCCUCCUGGUGAAAUCCAGUUCUCGUCAGUGACGUCAGACUCUGUGUCUCUGAGCUGGGGUUCUCCUGAGGGACUGACGGGACCACAUAAUUUCAGAGUGACCUGGGGAUGUGAUGGAGAAGAGAGGAGCCUGAUGGUGGAAGAUGGGUGUAAUGUUGAAAUAGAUGGACUCCAGCCUGGUAAAAAGUACCAGUUCAGUGUGGCUACAGAGGGAGAAGACGGCAGACAAAGCAGAUGGGUCUCAGCAU